rnacentral:rRNA from 1 species
AAGAGACAGCAGUAGCCACGGGAAUACGGAGGGUGCAAGCGUUAAUCGGAAUUACUGGGCGUAAAGCGCACGCAGGCGGUCUGACAAGUCAGAUGUGAAAUCCCCGGGCUUAACCUGGGAACUGCAUUUGAAACUGUCAGGCUGGAGUCUUGUAGAGGGGGGUAGAAUUCCAGGUGUAGCGGUGAAAUGCGUAGAGAUCUGGAGGAAUACCGGUGGCGAAGGCGGCCCCCUGGACAAAGACUGACGCUCAGGUGCGAAAGCGUGGGGAGCAAACAGGAUUAGAUACCCCUGUAGUCCCUGUCUCUUAUAC